CUUGCGGGCGUGCUUACCAUGCAAGUCGAACGGUGAACCCCAGCUUGCUGGGGGGAUCAGUGGCGAACGGGUGAGUAACACGUGAGUAACCUGCCCUUCACUCUGGGAUAAGCCUUGGAAACGGGGUCUAAUACCGGAUACGAGACGCACGGGCAUCUGUAGCGUCUGGAAAGAUUUAUCGGUGAAGGAUGGACUCGCGGCCUAUCAGCUUGUUGGUGGGGUAAUGGCCUACCAAGGCGACGACGGGUAGCCGGCCUGAGAGGGCGACCGGCCACACUGGGACUGAGACACGGCCCAGACUCCUACGGGAGGCAGCAGUGGGGAAUAUUGCACAAUGGGCGCAAGCCUGAUGCAGCGACGCCGCGUGCGGGAUGACGGCCUUCGGGUUGUAAACCGCUUUCAGCAGGGAAGAAGCGAGAGUGACGGUACCUGCAGAAGAAGCGCCGGCUAACUACGUGCCAGCAGCCGCGGUAAUACGUAGGGCGCAAGCGUUGUCCGGAAUUAUUGGGCGUAAAGAGCUCGUAGGCGGUUUGUCGCGUCUGCUGUGAAAACCUCAGGCUCAACCUGGGGCUUGCAGUGGGUACGGGCAGACUAGAGUGCGGUAGGGGUGACUGGAAUUCCUGGUGUAGCGGUGGAAUGCGCAGAUAUCAGGAGGAACACCGAUGGCGAAGGCAGGUCACUGGGCCGCAACUGACGCUGAGGAGCGAAAGCAUGGGGAGCGAACAGGAUUAGAUACCCUGGUAGUCCAUGCCGUAAACGUUGGGCACUAGGUGUGGGGUCCAUUCCACGGAUUCCGUGCCGCAGCAAACGCAUUAAGUGCCCCGCCUGGGGAGUACGGCCGCAAGGCUAAAACUCAAAGAAAUUGACGGGGGCCCGCACAAGCGGCGGAGCAUGCGGAUUAAUUCGAUGCAACGCGAAGAACCUUACCAAGGCUUGACAUACACCGGAAACGUGCAGAGAUGUGCGCCCCGCAAGGUCGGUGUACAGGUGGUGCAUGGUUGUCGUCAGCUCGUGUCGGAAAUGUUGGGUUAAGUCC
rnacentral:rRNA from 1 species